GGACAGAGUGUGAUACUCAUACCAAAAAUCAGUGCCCAAUGAAGCUGCCAUAUAUAUGGUGGAGAUGAGGCUGAGAACACAUGCAAUUACCAGUGCUGUAGCAAAACGGUUAUCCAUCAUUGCUGCUUAGAGCUCCUCAGAUCCAGCAGCAUACGCAGCUCCAGUGGUUGCAGGUGACUUCAGAGACACCGUGCUACCGGCGUCCUGCAGUAAGCCAGAAGCACACACCGCCAACUCCCUGCUGGCCCUAACUGCUCCAUUCAGACCGCUCCAGCAAUGCCAUCGAUGCACAAGCAGCAGCCGCAGCGAACCACCUCCAUCCCCAGCCCCGCGCACCACUUCCGCGCCGCAGCUGCCCCUGGGCCA
rnacentral:lncRNA from 1 species